rnacentral:tRNA from 1 species
CCUGGUGGCUCAGAGGGUAAAGCGUUUGCCUGCAAUGCAGAAGACCUGGGUUCGAUCCCCGGGUCAGGA